rnacentral:rRNA from 1 species
UACGGAGGGUGCAAGCGUUAUCCGGAUUCACUGGGUUUAAAGGGUGCGUAGGCGGGCAGGUAAGUCAGUGGUGAAAUCCCCGAGCUUAACUCGGGAACUGCCAUUGAUACUAUCUGUCUUGAAUAUUGUGGAGGUAAGCGGAAUAUGUCAUGUAGCGGUGAAAUGCUUAGAUAUGACAUAGAACACCUAUUGCGAAGGCAGCUUACUACGCAUAUAUUGACGCUGAGGCACGAAAGCGUGGGGAGCAAACAGG